UCUAACAUAGUCAAAUUAAUGACGCAAGAUUUAAGCUCUUGAAGUGUAAUUUAUUGUUAGAA
rnacentral:tRNA from 1 species